rnacentral:rRNA from 1 species
AUUGAACGCUGGCGGCAGGCCUAACACGUGCAAGUCGAGCGGAUGAAGGGAGCUUGCUCCUGGAUUCAGCGGCGGACGGGUGAGUAAUGCCUAGGAAUCUGCCUGGUAGUGGGGGAUAACGUCCGGAAACGGGCGCUAAUACCGCAUACGUCCUGAGGGAGAAAGUGGGGGAUCUUCGGACCUCACGCUAUCAGAUGAGCCUAGGUCGGAUUAGCUAGUUGGUGGGGUGAAGGCCUACCAAGGCGACGAUCCGUAACUGGUCUGAGAGGAUGAUCAGUCACACUGGAACUGAGACACGGUCCAGACUCCUACGGGAGGCAGCAGUGGGGAAUAUUGGACAAUGGGCGAAAGCCUGAUCCAGCCAUGCCGCGUGUGUGAAGAAGGUCUUCGGAUUGUAAAGCACUUUAAGUUGGGAGGAAGGGCAGUAAGUUAAUACCUUGCUGUUUUGACGUUACCAACAGAAUAAGCACCGGCUAACUUCGUG